rnacentral:lncRNA from 1 species
CUCGCCCCGCCGCCCGGUAAGCAUCCAGUUCCACCGCGCCUCCUUCCCCAAGCCCAACGCCAUGGAAGGCUCGGACCCGAGCUCGCCGUUGGCGUGAUGAGCUCCGUCGGAUCCCCUCCUCCGUCCACAAGCCCCGGGACGCCGCCGUGACUCCGUUACACGCCUUCCCCGAGUCGGAUCGCCAAUUUCCUCGACAUCUUCUUCCUCUGCUCGACUUCUUCAGGGAACGCGAACACCUCCACGAUCAGCGCUUCUUCCUGUACGCCUCCGUCGUCGCGUACCCGGCCUCCACGUCGUAUCCUUCGAGCCCAUGGUGAGCAGUCGCCCCUCCCCAGUCCUUCCCCGGCGUGAUUUUCAUCCCGUAGGCGUCGUUUUGAUCUUGACCGAGGCACGUCCGCCAUGGCCGUUUCUGAACAAAGCCGAGGCUCUGUUUCCACGCACCAGCACACCUUGCUGCCGCCCCUUGCUGCCGCCCCUUGCUGCACUUGCGCACCUUGCCAGAUGCUGCUUCCGCCCGCACACCAGGCUGUCGCCGUCGCCUCGCCGCAGACCCGCAACCUCACCAGUUUCCGCAUGCACGCACACCAGCAGCUCUCGCGCGCAAUCAGAGCCUCGCCCGUCGCCUUGCAGUCAUCCCAUGCAUCGCCGUGGUCGCCGCCAUGGCCACAAGCUCGGCCUCCCGCAAGCCCCACCUGUGCAUCCACACACACAGCAAGCGCCCGCCACAACCAAGUUUCCCUUGCCUAUUUCCGCACCCCCGCCGGUGCUCUACUGCGGCAGAGGCCGCUGCCUUUGGUCACCGCCGUUGCCGUCGGUUGUCGUUGUGCAGCCAUGGUCAAAGUCGAUCUGCUGAUCGAUAGCUCAAAGGAGCCAGGGAGCAUUGCAUAUUUACAGAAUUGCCACUGUUUUACAUUAUCUAUAGCUAAAUAUCCAUGCAUCCAAAUAAAAUAUGUCAUAUAUGAAUCUUGCUUAUAUUUUCAUCUACUUUCACAAUAUCACACUUUCAUCCAGGGAAACGUUUCCCUAUGGUGCGCCGUUCGAGCGUUUCGGCUGGUCGUGCACGCGCACUUUCUUUUACUCUUGCUGCUAGUAGGCCCACCCCAUCGCUUUUUCUCAUACCUUAUCGUCUCGCACCCGCUCUCUCCACAGCCUGUCAUUUGCUCUUCUUCAUCCCGCAUCUCAGCUUUUCUCCUCUAACAAAUCGCCAGCAACGGCAUGGCUGCCCAUCGCCCCCGGCCACCCGUCGCCGGCAGGCGAGGUCGUCGGCGUCGACUCAACUGAGGCUGCGUGCUGCAACCCGCCACGACGGACAGCCGCUAGCCUGGGGCGACGGCCUGGCCGUGCGCCACCACACCCCGAGUCCUCUUGCGUUUGCGCUGCACGCUCCGACGAGGCCUUGCUACGAGCGGCGACCGGUCGCCGGAGACUGGCACAGCAGCGAGGCAUGCUGCAACCUGCGUCCGUCGAAGCUGGAACCGCCAUCUCGGCGUGCUGCAACCAGGCAACACAGAGCUGCGACGGGGGCGGGUGGCGACGGGCGGGGCUGGGAUUGCUGGAGCCAGCGACGGGAGGUACUACAACCGGUGUCAUCGGGAGCAUCGACGGUCCGCGGCGGUGCUCCAAAUUUUUCUUUGGUGGAAAGACAACGAGGUGGCUUCUUUUGCUGGAACCGGCCCAUACUUUUGCUACUACCUUCUUUUGAUUUUGCUGGAGCCGGCUAGAAAUUUGCUACUACCGUAUUUUGAUUUUCGCUGAAAGAAGCCUAAUUUUUUGCGACCACCGUCUUCUACUUUUGCUGGAACCAGUAUUUGAUUUUGUUUUUUGCUGGAAACAUUAUUUGAUUUUGCUGGAACCAGCGAGUGGAUUUGCUACAACUAGCGCCCAGAUUUGCUACAAACCACAACAAUGAAGUGUCGCCGGCGGUGACGGUGCUGUGAUUUUUGCUACAACCGGUGCCCAGAUUUGCUACAAGCCUACAACCAACGACAACGAAGUGUGGCCGGCGACGACGGUGCUGCGAUUAUUUUUGGUUGCAACCAGGGAACGGCGAGCGUGGCCGGCGAAGACGACACACGAUUUUUUGUUGCUGCAGCGGGUGCUGGGAUUUUAUGCGGAACCAUGGGGGCUCCUGGAACUGCGGUUGUCCGGGAUCGAGAAUGGCGAGCUGGCGGCGCGGGAGAGGAAGGAUUCUCUCGUUCGUGCUAUUGGCGAGUCACGACAGCGCGUAGGGGGUGCAGCGAGCGACGCCGGGAGGAGGGAUUCGCCCAGGUCUCUGAUUUGGGGACGAAGCAGUGGGGAAUAAGAAGAUAUGAUGACGUGGGGAUAGGGAUCGGAUGGCUAUGGGGUACAAAAUCGGACGGAUUGCGUGCGACCGGCCGAACCGUAGUGCCGGUCCGCCGGCGCCUAACAAUCGCCUUUCAUCCAUGAUAAAAAUGCUUAAAAUUGUUGUUUGCUUUUUUACUUAAAUGGCAUGCUAAAAUGGUUUAUUUCAUAACUAAAUAACCGUAACUCUGAAUUUAAUAAAUUAUAUAUGUAACGUGCUCAGAAAAAUGCAUAGAUAAACUUGGUGCACUUAUUUUGCAUGCUUAACAACUCUAAAAUUGUGUAUAGGUAGAACAGUACCAAAUUUAAAAUAUGCGCAUGAGAAUUUUCCGGAAUUGUUGUUCGUUGUUCCGGCCUCAUUUAAACUUGCCUAAAUAGUUACUUUACUUAUGCUUCACCUCUUGCCAUGUCUAACAACAUUUAAUAUUGUUGGGUACAUAAACGAGAGCGAACUAAAUAACUUUAUUGCGGUGUUUCGUCAAUACGCAACGAGUUGCAUAUUGAGCUCCACUUAAUUUGUAGUAUUGUUUGUUGCACUUUGCCAUGCCAUGCCUCAUUAAACCGGACAUGCAUCAUAUUUGGUUGUGCACCAUGCCAUGCUUAAGUGAUGGUUGUUUACCAUGUUUUUUGCUUCUUUCCGGUUGCGCUUCUCCUUGAUAGUUCCGGUUACGUUGCGAUUGUGAGGAUCCGUUCGACUACGUUGGUUCGUCUUCUUCAUGGACUCGUUCUUCUUCCUAGCGGGAUUUCGGGCAAGAUGACCGUCACCUUGGAUCUCACUACUAUCUUUGCUUUGCUAGUUGUCUCGAUGCUAUCGCUAUGUCGCGCUACCUACCACUUGUUAAUCAAGCCUCCCAAAAUUGCCAUGACAGCCUCUAACCUUUUCACUCUUUCUAGCAAACCGUUGUUUGGCUAUGUUACCGCUUUGCUCAGCCCCUCUUAUAGCGUUGCUAAUUGCAGGUGCAGUUGCAGGUUGUUCCAUGUUGGGACAUGGAUACCAUGGAUAUCUUGGGAUAUCACAAUAUCUCUUAUUUAAUUAAUGCACAUAUAUACUAGGUAAAGGGUGGAAGGCUCGGCCUUAUGCAUGGUGUUUUGUUCCACUCUUGCCGCCCUAGUUUCCGUCAUACCGGUGUUAUGUUCCUGGAUUUUGCGUCCCCAACACGGUGAGGGUUUAUGGGCCCCUCUUGACAGUUCGCUUUGAAUAAAACUCUUCUAGCAAGGCCCAACAUUGGUUUUACAUUUGCCACAAUAAUACUUGAACUAAAUAAUUAAUUGGCAUAGGGCGUCAUGAACCCGAGGAUUCUUUUCUACAUACAGGGCAGGGGCCAGUGCCGAUGGUGUUGGUCCCAACUAGAGCACCAUGCGGGACCGACCCUAGGAAACUUGGUUAUAUGGAUCCUGUACGCUUCGCUCAUCCGGACGUGGCCCGAGACGAGAUACGCGCGGCUACUAUCAGGGUGUCGGCACGCCGGGAUGUCUUGCUGGAUUAGUUUUACCAUUAUCAAAAUGUCUUGUGCACCGGGAUUCCGAGUCUGAUCAGAGGUCCCGCGAUGGAGGAUUGUCUCCGCGGAUCGUGAGCUUGUCAUGGAAUAAGUUGGGACAGCCCUGCAGGGUUUAAUCUUUCGAAAGCCGUGCCCAUGGUUAUGUGGCAGAUGGGAAUUUGUUAAUAUCCGGAUGUAGAGGACUUGAAAUAACUCAAUUAAAAUACACCAACCGCGUUGUGUAACCGUGACUGUCUCUUUUCGGGAAAGUUCGAGAGGAGAACACGGUUGGGUUAUGUUUGAACGUAAGUAGUUCAGGAUCACUUCUUGAUCAUUACUAGUUGGCUAUUGUUGUGUAGUUUCUCAUCUUACUCUUGUACUCGUAAGUUAACCACCAUACAUGCUUAGCCACUUGCUGCAACCUCACCACUUACCCUUCCAUACCCAUUAAGCUUUGCUAGUCUUGAUACCCAUGGUAAUGGGAUUGUUGAGUCCUCGUGGCUCACAGAUUACUACAACAACAGUUGCAGGUGCAGGUAAUGCGAUGUUCAUGACGUGACAGCGAUGUUUGCCUGUUUUGGAGUUCUUCUUCUUCGUUGAUCUUGGGAUAUGUUCCUGCUUGGCAGCCCGGGCUAGCAGGGUGGAUGUCGUUUGAGUUUCUGUGUGUGUUUCAUCCGUAGUCGGAUGUUGUUCUCUUGUAUGAUGUUGAUGUAUUCUUGCGGCAUUUGUAUGCCCUUUGUAUGUAUCCCCAACUAUUAUGUAAUGGUACGAUGUAAUGAUAUCCACCUUGCAAAAGUGUGUCAAUAUGCGGUUCUAUCCUUGGUGGGACCUUCGAAUUCCUUUAGGAUAGAGUCGCAUAUUGGGCGUGACACGGGGCUUGGUCGACUCUAUGGUCCAGGCGGAGCUUGG